rnacentral:lncRNA from 1 species
AUGAGCACCUCCACUACCAUAUCCAUAACCAGACCCGGAUCCAGACCCAGACCCGGUUCCAAAACCAUAGCCAUAACCUCUACCAAAGCCAGAAGGAGAAUGUCCUGAACCUGAACCAUAUCCCCACCCGCUACCUGGUGCAGAUCCCCAUCCCCAGUUAUAGUCCCAAUUUGGACCGUGGCCCGAACCACUUGCACCUGUCGGAGAACCACCGCUUGCCAUAUCUAGCUUUCUUCCGCCACUGCUGGCUGCGGCCAUGGAAGUGAUGAGAAAGAAAAGAAAGAUAGUAGUGUAUGGUAGCAUUUUGUGUUGUGUGAAAUAUGUUUUUGUUGCUAUUAUUUGAUAGUUUGUUGGGAGUGAUAUUAUAGUUUGUGGAGAGAAAAAGUGAGGAUUUAUGAUUCUCGUG